UGAGGAAUAUUGCACAAUGGGGGCAACCCUGAUGCAGCGACGCCGCGUGGGUGAUGAAGGUUUUCGGAUCGUAAAGCCCUUUUCUGCAUGACGAGCCAAGGACGGUAGUGCAGGAAUAAGUGUCGGCUAACUACGUGCCAGCAGCCGCGGUAAAACGUAGGACACAAGCGUUAUCCGGAAUUACUGGGCGUAAAGGGCGUGCAGGCGGUUGCGUAAGUUAGGCGUGAAAGACUUCGGCUAAACCGGGGGAGGUCGUCUGAUACUGCGCAACUAGAGUAUGGUAGAGGCGUGUAGAAUUCCGGGUGUAGUGGUGAAAUGCGUAGAGAUCCGGAGGAAUACCAGUGGCGAAGGCGGCACGCUGGGCCAUAACUGACGCUAAGACGCGAAAGCAUGGGUAGCGAACGGGAUUAGAUACCCAAGUAGUCCCUGAGCGGGCUGGCAAGGCGCAU
rnacentral:rRNA from 1 species